UAGUCAACAAAUGCGGCAGAGGUUAAGUUGGUGCUUAAAUAAAAUAAAUAAAUUACCCAAACGAUGACCACCGCUCACAACUACAAUAAAAACAGACCAAAUAACGUAAGGUAUGAGUGGAAUAAUAUGUAUCUAACCACUUGCGUGGCGUAGGUAUUCCCGUUUAAGGAAGCCUCCUUUUCACAGACGAGAAAGCCAAACGCAUGAUCGUGCACCUUCGGUUUUUUUUUUGUUCAUUGUAAAUAAAUAUGGCGGUGUAAAUAAAAGGAAAGAAUAUAAACAAAACAAGGCAACGGUAUUUAUUUGUAAUUGUUUUUAGAGGAAAAUACCUAAUUGAAGAAACGUACUUAGUGGAUUUUUAUAUUUUUCAUACAGUAUAAAAUUUAGGAAGUCUUUGUCUUCCACAAAUAUUCUUGGGACGCCCCAUAUUCCCUUGCAAUUUUAUGCAACUUGUAAUUUUCAGCAUCUGAAGAAAUUGACGGCUUCAAAUCAACUAGUGCACUUUGUCAUCCAACUGCUAUGGUUCAUAAUUAUUAUUAUUAUCAUUAAGGGGAAGAAAAAAUUUUGCAGCUGUGGUCAAGGCUAUAACAAACUUUAUAUUUUUUUGGAAAACUUUAAUUAGAAUUAGUUUGCUCACAAUCAUAGAGUAACAUCAUAUUGUUCAAUGAAAAAAUACCGAACAAGUACGGAAAAUAUAAUUAUUAAAAAAAUUGUCAUAGGCCGAAGAUAUGAAAAUGUAAUUGAUGAUGUUGAUUAAUAGUGUUCUAAUCUGUAAUUAGGGGCAAAUUAAUCAAAUUGAACUGUGAACCCAAAACUUUCCAGAAUUACUAAAACAAAACUACCUCUACUCUUGGUUUUCUUGAAGCUGGUGCAGGAGACCAGAUGCUGAUAAACCAAACAUAUUAACGUGGGAACAAACUUGAUAAAGUAAACUAUAUAACAAGGUUUUUUCAGGUUCUCAAUAGAUGAACUUCCUAUGUUUUAUUUACAUGAAAUAACUAACAUUAGAAAUAAAACUUAUUAUUUAGUUUUGCAGGACCAGUAUUUAUUACAUUAAUUGUCAUCAGUUACUUUACAUUCAUAAAAAAAUUCUUUUUAAUCACAACUUGACAUAAACAAAUACUUUAAUAUCAUUCACACCAACAAAAGGAAAUAAUUUUAAAGCAAACUACCCAUAUACAGUUCUCCUCCCUUCCCUUCUUCCCCACUGAAGAGAAAUUUUUCUCCAGAAUUUGGCUGAUGCAGCUGAAAAUUUGAAACAAAGUUGCAAAAUAAUAAAUAUUACAACACCCAAAUUAGAUGCACAUACAAAUGGUUCAUUAAACAGUGGCACUUUCAUAUCGUAACAUUUUCAGUAACCUAUACUUUUAAGCAUUCAAUAAUUAAUUAUAAUUUAGGAUAGAUAUCCAACAUAACAAAGCAAAACCAUACUACUCAAUAUUUUAAGUAAUUAAUUUAUUGUAUAGCAUAUGAAGUGUUUGGUAAAGGUGACAAGAUUAUCCAAUGUAUGGCUGCAUUCCUUUUCUACCACCUUAAAAUGUUUGCUACAUAAUUGUUAGUGGCAAGAGACUUCGGCAUAGUUACCAACGGUAGAGCAAAAGUGGCAUAGGCGUACCCAGGAUUUUAUUUCGGGAGGGAUCCGUCCAAUUAUUUAAGAAAAAUUCCAUACAUAGACAGCAAAAAUGAAUUUUUACUAUAAUAUAUAGAGACUAUAGGUAGGUACAUUUUAAAUCUGUAACUUUUUUUUUUAUUUAUUCCCCAUGUUUUAUUUCACAAUUUGACCUAUAACAACACCAAAUAGCAUUCUUAUUACUUAAAAUAAAAAUACCAAAUUUAAAAAUAAAAAUUAUGUUAACUGGUAACUCUGGGAACAUGUGUGAUAUUUUAGCUAGGUUAGUUUAUGUGAAAGAUAUGAAAGUUAAGUUGAAUUAAAAAUUUUCCUGGAAUAAAACUUAAAUUAUUACAAAA